rnacentral:rRNA from 1 species
CAUGCAAGUCGAGCGGCAGCGCGGUCUUCGGACUGGCGGCGAGCGGCGAACGGGUGAGUAAUACAUCGGAACAUGCCCAGUCGUGGGGGAUAACACUUCGAAAGAAGUGCUAAUACCGCAUACGUCCUGAGGGAGAAAGCGGGGGAUCGCAAGACCUCGCGCGAUUGGAGUGGCCGAUGUCAGAUUAGCUAGUUGGUGGGGUAAAGGCCUACCAAGGCAACGAUCUGUAGCUGGUCUGAGAGGAUGAUCAGCCACACUGGGACUGAGACACGGCCCAGACUCCUACGGGAGGCAGCAGUGGGGAAUUUUGGACAAUGGGGGCAACCCUGAUCCAGCCAUUCCGCGUGAGUGAAGAAGGCCUUCGGGUUGCAAAGCUCUUUCGGCAGGAACGAAACGGCGAGCUCUAACAUAGCUCGCUAAUGACGGUACCUGAAGAAGAAGCACCGGCUAACUACGUGCCAGCAGCCGCGGUAAUACGUAGGGUGCGAGCGUUAAUCGGAAUUACUGGGCGUAAAGCGUGCGCAGGCGGUUGUGUAAGACAGGUGUGAAAUCCCCGGGCUUAACCUGGGAACUGCGCUUGUGACUGCACGGCUAGAGUAUGGCAGAGGGGGGUGGAAUUCCACGUGUAGCAGUGAAAUGCGUAGAGAUGUGGAGGAACACCGAUGGCGAA